rnacentral:rRNA from 1 species
UUAGAGUUUGAUCCUGGCUCAGGACGAACGCUGGCGGCGUGCUUAACACAUGCAAGUCGAACGAUGAUGCUCACAGCUUGCUGUGGGUGGAUUAGUGGCGAACGGGUGAGUAACACGUGAGUAACCUGCCUUUCACUCUGGGAUAAGCCUUGGAAACGAGGUCUAAUACUGGAUAUGACUCUUGACCGCAUGGUUGGGGGUGGAAAGCCUUUGUGGUGGUGGAUGAUGGACUCGCGGACUAUCAGCUUGUUGGUGGGGUUGUGGCCUACCAAGGCGAUGACGGUUAGCCGGCCUGAGAGGGUGACCGGCCACAUUGGGACUGAGACACGGCCCAGACUCCUACGGGAGGCAGCAGUGGGGAAUAUUGCACAAUGGGCGAAAGCCUGAUGCAGCGACGCCGCGUGGGGGAUGACGGCCUUCGGGUUGUAAACUCCUUUCGCUCGUGACGAAGCCUUUCGGGGUGACGGUAGCGGGAGAAGAAGCACCGGCUAACUACGUGCCAGCAGCCGCGGUAAUACGUAGGGUGCGAGCGUUGUCCGGAAUUAUUGGGCGUAAAGAGCUUGUAGGCGGUUUGUCGCGUCUGCUGUGAAAGCCCGGGGCUUAACUCCGGGUCUGCAGUGGGUACGGGCAGGCUAGAGUGUGGUAGGGGAGACUGGAAUUCCUGGUGUAGCGGUGAAAUGCGCAGAUAUCAGGAGGAACACCGAUGGCGAAGGCAGGUCUCUGGGCCAUUACUGACGCUGAGAAGCGAAGCG